rnacentral:rRNA from 1 species
AUGGAACAAUCGCUGCCAACGACCGUGUCUACGUGCACCUCCGACACGGCGAUGGGCAAGCACGUGUUCAAGAUCGUCGGCUACCAUCUGCACAAGGGUUUGGGCGUCGGCAAGUACAUACGGUCCGCCACCUUCGCCGUCGGCGGCUACGACUGGUGCGUCCGUUACUACCCCGAUGGAUACUCAUCCCCCGAGUGCAAUGGCUACAUCUCUGUCUACCUCGAGCUCCUGUCCAGGAACGCCGAGGUCAGGGCGAACUACACAUUCAGUCUAAUCGACUCGGGCGGCGGCUGCGCGCAGCCAUGGUCGCCGUUCAUCCGCCGCUUCGCUCACAACUACACCUCCGUCGAUGUUAGCUAUGGAGCUGACAUGUUCAUCGAACAGACUGCGCUCGAAUUGGUGCCGUACCUGCGUGACGACACCGUGGUGAUUGAGUGUGAGGUCAAGGUUAUCAGGUGGCCGCGGGUGCAGGAGGAGACCGUGUUGGCCGCCACACAUAUCGAGGUGCCACCGUCGGACCUGUCGAUUCACCUCGGGAAGUUGCUGGACGGGAAGAGAGGAGCAGAUGUGACUUUUGAGGUUAAAGGCGAGGUUUUCCCUGCACACAAGAUUAUGCUUGCCACGUGGUCGCCGGUCUUCGAUGCUCAAGUCUAUGGACCCAUGAGCGAUGCCAAUGCCACGAGUAAGAACAUAAUCGUCGAAGACAUGGAGCCCCCUGUUUUCAGGGCCUUGCUUCACUUCAUCUACACGGAUUCGCUGCCAGCUAUGGAUGACCUUGAUGAUGGUGAGAACCAAGACAUGGUUAAACACUUGAUGGUGGCUGCCGACAGGUAUGCCAUGGACAGGAUGAAGAUGAUAUGUGAAGGUAUUCUCUGCAAGAGCCUUGAAGUUGAGACCGUGGCGAUGACAUUGGCGCUAGCUGAUCAGCAUCACUGCAGCAAGCUGAAAGAUGCCUGUGUUGAAUUCAUUCUCUCUUCAAACAGAAUGGAUGAUGUGGUAGCAAGCCAGGGGUAUGCACACCUCAAAAGAUCUUGUCCUGCUCUCAUGUUUGAUGUCUUUGAGAAGGCUACCAAGUCUCGCAAAAUUUAA